rnacentral:rRNA from 1 species
ACUCAAAUGAAUUGACGGGGGCCCGCACAAGCGGCGGAGCAUGUUGCUUAAUUCGAGGCGACGCGAAGAACCUUACCUGGGUUGAACUACGCAGGAAAAGCCACAGAGAUGUGGUGUCCUUCGGGGCCUGUGAUAGGUGGUGCAUGGCUGUCGUCAGCUCGUGUCGUGAGAUGUUGGGUUAAGUCCCGCAACGAGCGCAACCCUUGUCCUAUGUUGCCAGCGGGUAAUGCCGGGGACUCGUAGGAGACUGCCGGGGUCAACUCGGAGGAAGGUGGGGACGACGUCAAGUCAUCAUGCCCCUUAAGCCCAGGGCUGCAAACAUGCUACAAUGGCCAGUACAAAGGGCUGCUAUACCGCGAGGUUGAGCGAAUCCCAUAAAGCUGGUCUCAGUUCGGAUUGGAGUCUGCAACUCGACUCCAUGAAGCCGGAGUCGCUAGUAAUCCCGGAUCAGCAACGCCGGGGUGAAUACGUUCCCGGGCCUUGCACACACCGCCCGU